GCCUUCGUAUCCCAAUUGGUAGAGGAACGGCGUUGAGGGCGCCGGUGUUGCGCGUUCGAAUCGCGCCGGAGGCA
rnacentral:tRNA from 1 species